rnacentral:tRNA from 1 species
CUCCUUGGGAGAAACGUUUUCCCCCUUUUCUGGUUUACAAGACCAGGGUAAUGUGCGACU